CAGUUCGGAUUGGAGUCUGCAACCCGACUCCAUGAAGCUGGAUUCGCUAGUAAUCGCGCAUCAGCCACGGCGCGGUGAAUACGUUCCCGGGCCUUGUACACACCGCCCGUCAAGCCAUGGAAGCCGGGAGUGCCUGAAGUGCGUGAGCGCAAGCAGCGCCCUAAGGUAAAACCGGUGACUGGGGCUAAGUCGUAACAAGGUACC
rnacentral:rRNA from 1 species